rnacentral:sRNA from 1 species
UUUAACCGAUCCGACCAGUUGCCCAAUGCCAGGGCAUGGCGCCAAAGCCAUCGCUUCAGGCUCUGCUGACGU